GUGGAAACUGUCCACCUGUGUUCCUCUGCAGAACAACCUCUUUCCCUGCAUGAACUAAUACCAGAUACAUCUGUUCUGUAAUGUGCCUCUUCUUGUUCCUAAAUCUGAUUUAUCUUUCUUACUCAGCAUGUACUUUGCUUUAUUUGGCAUUUGGAGCUGGCAUGGAAGAUCUUGCAACAAUUCCACUUACAAUCAAGAAGCGCACCAGAUUGUCAAGGCACAAACUGCUCUUCGUGACGCUAUGUGGGCCGUCCUGGAUCAACACCUCAUCUCACAUGUGCC
rnacentral:lncRNA from 1 species